AUAGAUCCUUUCAAAAUUCAUUGGAGGGCAGUCUGGUGCCAGCAGCCGCGGUAAUUCCAGCUCCAAUAGCGUAUAUUAAAAUUGUUGCAGUUAAAAAGCUCGUAGUUGAAUUUCUGCUGCAUCGUCGCAUCUCUUGCUGAGUGCUUCGUUUCGGCUUAUUUCGGAUUGAUUUUUUCUUUCCGGAUGAUUACUUUGAGAAAAUUAGAGUGCUCAAAGCAGGCUUUUGCCUUGAAUAGUUUAGCAUGGAAUAAUAAAGUAGGACUUUGGUUCUAUUUUGUUGGUUUUAGGUACCAAAGUAAUGGUUAAUAGGAACAGUUGGGGGCAUUCGUAUUUAACUGUCAGAGGUGAAAUUCUUAGAUUUGUUAAAGACGAACUACUGCGAAAGCAUUUGCCAAGGAUGUUUUCAUUAAUCAAGAACGAAAGUUAGGGGAUCGAAGACGAUCAGAUACCGUCGUAGUCCUAACCAUAAACUAA
rnacentral:rRNA from 1 species